rnacentral:tRNA from 1 species
GCGGGUGUGGUGUAAAGGCUGCACAAGAGCCUUCCAAGCUCUUAGUUCGGGUUCGAUUCCCGACACCCGCU